GAUGAACGCUGGCGGCGUGCCUAAUACAUGCAAGUCGAGCGAACAGACGAGGAGCUUGCUCCUCUGACGUUAGCGGCGGACGGGUGAGUAACACGUGGAUAACCUACCUAUAAGACUGGGAUAACUUCGGGAAACCGGAGCUAAUACCGGAUAAUAUAUUGAACCGCAUGGUUCAAUAGUGAAAGACGGUUUUGCUGUCACUUAUAGAUGGAUCCGCGCCGCAUUAGCUAGUUGGUAAGGUAACGGCUUACCAAGGCAACGAUGCGUAGCCGACCUGAGAGGGGGACCGGCCCACUGGGAGCGGGACCGCGGACCAGACCCCUAAGGGAGGCACAAGUAGGGAACCUUCCGCAAGGGGGGAAAGCCUGACGGAGCAACGCCGCGGGAGGGAUAAAGGUCUUGGGACCGUAAACCUCUGUUAUUGGGGAAAAACAAAUGUGUAAGGAAAUAUGCCGGUUUUGACGGUACCUAAUAAAAAAGCAACGGCUAACUACGU
rnacentral:rRNA from 1 species